ACACUUGAUGGCGGAACGGAAGUCACUUGACGGCGGACUGGAAGUGACUUGAUGGCGGAACGGAAGUGGUUUAUGCCGCUGGCAGCUGCAGCAGCUUCUGUUCAGAGUUAUUGAUUCACCUGCUCUUCAGCUGGGAACUCAACAAACUUUGAAAUACCUCUGCAGCGGCAUUAAGAGUACAAAGCAUGAGAAAAACCUCCAGUUAAAGGAGCACAAGAUAGGCUCCUCUGAUGUUCUAAACCGAUUAGCGUUGAGGUCUGAAGCAGAAGAAGGAGAGAGGCUGGAGAAGGAUGGAGUGAUCGGAAAGGCAGCAGAGUGCAGAAGCUGUGGGGCUCCAUGUGGCCAUGACCACGGGAAUCUGAAAAGCACCUUGGAGGACUGUACAGCCGAUCUGGUUCCAAUUCUCUGACUCUUCAUAUCAAGUGCUUUAAAAGAGGUCUAAAUACUAAGGUCAUUUUCUGUGGAUACAAGAGGCAUGCAGCAGUGAUAAAAGCCACCAUAUGUACCUAGCCACUUGCUUCAGGAGGUAAACCUAGCUCAAUCCCAGGAAGAAAAACUCCCAUCAUGAGCUCAAGUACAAGCUAAAGUGGACCUCUGGUCAAGGGUAACGUCCGUCCGUCCGUUACUGGUAACAGCCAUGAGAAGACAAUUGUCAACGGUGUCAAACUUCAGUCCUCUACAUUCUAUACAUAGUUCCCACAAGACUGAAUAGGAUCUGCGCCAUUUUGAUAGACAAGCAAAGAAUAGAUGAACCAUGGCUUCCAGACCAACAAAAAGAAAAUAUAUGGACUCUGUAACCAAUGUGCAAGAGAAAGAUGUAUGAACAAAAUGGCUGCUGUCAGGAUCAACCCGUAUGAAGCAGAGAAGGAAAACAUGUAAGACGAUGUGGACAAGAUGCCUCCGAUCUACUCUGACAUAGUUCAUAGUUUUACUCAGUAAAAACGAAGAGCGUGUACAAC